CAUUUUUGAUGGGUUAUACAUAUAUUUAUCUCAUAAUUUUCGUGAAUACUUAUUAAACUUAACUAUAGUGAGUGCGAAAGUGACAGCAAAAAACAAGUUGCAAAUGUCAAAUACAAAAAUGAAUCGCGUUUAAUUCUGUGAAAAUCUCCAAGCGAAAAGAAAAACGUAUUUCACAAUCAAGAGGAUACAAGAAAAAGAUGAACGCGGGAGAAUUCGAGGUUUGUUAAGGUGUUGAAGGACUUGGGGUCUUGGGAGGUAGCAGAUGAUUCAGAGAGGACACCUUUAUGUUUGCGGGGAAGGGCAGGAUGCGUACCUUGCUGCAGGUGUAUAAAACAACGAAGGAUAACAAAAAUCGAACGAGUUCUUGUUCGUACUUCGGUCUCUAUGAGGAGCUAACGGAUGAGAUAUUUGGCAAUGGCAAAAUUAUCUCUGACGCACAUACGAUGCAUUUAGAGAGGGACCAGUGCAGAUGUUAGACGAUGACUCGGAAUCAUCAAUGACAUCAUCACCGUUGCUGUCCCAAUUAUCUCAAAAUGCGUACUGGUGUACGCAAGGUAUACAAGGGAUCGAGAUAUGUA